rnacentral:rRNA from 1 species
ACAUCCAGAGAACUUAGCAGAGAUGCUUGGUGCCUUCGGGAACUCUGAGACAGGUGCUGCAUGGCUGUCGUCAGCUCGUGUUGUGAAAUGUUGGGUUAAGUCCCGCAACGAGCGCAACCCUUAUCCUUUGUUGCCAGCGGCUCGGCCGGGAACUCAAAGGAGACUGCCGGUGAUAAACCGGAGGAAGGUGGGGAUGACGUCAAGUCAUCAUGGCCCUUACGGCCAGGGCUACACACGUGCUACAAUGGCGCAUACAAAGAGAAGCGACCUCGCGAGAGCAAGCGGACCUCAUAAAGUGCGUCGUAGUCCGGAUUGGAGUCUACAACUCGACUCCAUGAAGUCGGAAUCGCUAGUAAUCGUAGAUCAGAAUGCUACGGUGAAUACGUUCCCGGGCCUUGUACACACCGCCCGUCACACCAUGGGAGUGGGUUGCAAAAGAAGUAGGUAGCUUAACCUUCGGGAGGGCGCUUACCACUUUGUGAUUCAUGACUGGGGUGAAGUCGUAACAAGGUAAGCGUAGCGAG